UACCAGCACCCCGAGUGGUCGGGACGUUUAUUGGGCCUAAAGCAUCCGUAGCCGGUUCUACAAGUCUUCCGUUAAAUCCAACUGCUUAACAGGUGGGCUGCGGAAGAUACUAUAGAGCUAGGAGGCGGGAGAGGCAAGCGGUACUCGAUGGGUAGGGGUAAAAUCCGUUGAUCCAUUGAAGACCACCGGUGGCGAAAGCGCUCUGCUGGACCUUAACUGACACUGAGGGACGAAAGCUAGGGGAGCGAAUGGG
rnacentral:rRNA from 1 species